rnacentral:rRNA from 1 species
ACGUAGGUGGCAAGCGUUAUCCGGAAUUAUUGGGCGUAAAGCGCGCGCAGGCGGUUUCUUAAGUCUGAUGUGAAAGCCCACGGCUCAACCGUGGAGGGUCAUUGGAAACUGGGGAACUUGAGUGCAGAAGAGAAAAGCGGAAUUCCACGUGUAGCGGUGAAAUGCGUAGAGAUGUGGAGGAACACCGAUGGCGAAGGCAGCCUCCUGGGCCAACACUGACGCUCAUGCACGAAAGCGUGGGGAGCAAACAGGA